CGGGGGGGGGGGCAAGCGUUGUUCGGAAUUACUGGGCGUAAAGGGCGCGUAGGCGGUCCCGCAAGUCCUCCGUGAAAUCCCACAGCUCAACUGUGGAACUGCGAGGGAAACUGCAGGACUUGAGUCCGGGAGAGGAGAGUGGAAUUCCCAGUGUAGCGGUGAAAUGCGUAGAUAUUGGGAGGAACACCGGUGGCGAAGGCGGCUCUCUGGACCGGUACUGACGCUGAGGCGCGAAAGCUAGGGGAGCAAACGGGAUUAGAUACCCCGGUAGUCCUAGCCUUAAACGAUGAGCACUUGGUGUGGCGGGUAUCGACCCCUGCCGUGCCGAAGCUAACGCAUUAAGUGCUCCGCCUGGGGAGUACGGUCGCAAAGGCUG
rnacentral:rRNA from 1 species